rnacentral:tRNA from 1 species
GGGGAUUUGGCUCAGUGGUAGAGUGCUUGCCUAGCAAGCACAAGGCCCUGGGUUCAAUCCCCAGCUCUG